rnacentral:rRNA from 1 species
AACGACUCUCGGCAACGGAUAUCUCGGCUCUCGCAUCGAUGAAGAACGUAGCGAAAUGCGAUACUUGGUGUGAAUUGCAGAAUCCCGUGAACCAUCGAGUCUUUGAACGCAAGUUGCGCCCGAAGCCAUUAGGCCGAGGGCACGUCUGCCUGGGCGUCACACAUCGCGUCGCCCCCCAACCCAUCACUCCCUUGCGGGAGUUGAGGCGGA